GUCUUCUUGACUGGAUAAUAAGAAGUCUGACCUGCCCAGUGAAAAAUUAUUUAACGGCCGCGGUAUUUUGACCGUGCAAAGGUAGCAUAAUCAUUAGUCUUUUAAUAGAGGGCUGGUAUGAAAGGUUUGACGAGGUGCUGACUGUCUCAUUUAAUUUGAAAUUAAAAUUUAACUUUUCAGUCAAAAGGCUGAAAUAAUAUUGGAAGACGAGAAGACCCUAUAGAGCUUUAUAUUUAAUUUAUUAAUAAUUUUUUGGGUAUUAAUUUUUAUUAUUAAUUUAAGUAUUUUGUUGGGGUGACAAAAAUAUAAAAUUAACUUUUUUAUCUAUUAAACAUUAAUUUAUGGUUAUUAGAUCCAAUCUUAUUGAUUGUUAGAAUAAGUUACCUUAGGGAUAACAGCGUAAUCUUCCUCCAGAGUUCAUAUUUACAGGAAGGCUUGCGACCUCGAUGUUGGAUUAAGAUAAUAAUUAGGUGUAGCCGCUUAAUAUAUAGGUCUGUUCGACCUUUAAAUUCUU
rnacentral:rRNA from 1 species